rnacentral:rRNA from 1 species
CCUACGGGUGGCAGCAGUGGGGAAUAUUGGGCAAUGGGCGCAAGCCUGACCCAGCAACGCCGCGUGAAGGAAGAAGGCCUUCGGGUUGUAAACUUCUUUUCUCAGGGACGCAGCAAGUGACGGUACUUGACGAAUUAGCCACGGCUAACUACGUGCCAGCAGCCGCGGUAAUACGAAGGUGGCAAGCGUUAUCCGGAUUGACUGGGUGUAAAGGGCGUGUUGGCGGGACUGCAAGUCAGAUGUGAAAACCACGGGCUCAACCUGUGGCCUGCAUUUGAAACUGUAGUUCUUGAGUACUGGAGAGGCAGACGGAAUGCCUGGUGUAGCGGUGAAAUGCAUAGAUAUUAGGAAGAACACCGGUGGCGAAGGCGGUCUGCUGGACAGCAACUGACGCUGAGGCGCGAAAGCGUGGGGAGCGAACAGGAUUAGAUACCCCUGUAGUC